rnacentral:rRNA from 1 species
UACGGAGGGAGCUAGCGUUGUUCGGAAUUACUGGGCGUAAAGCGCAAGUAGGCGGACUAUUAAGUCAGGGGUGAAAUCCCGGGGCUCAACCCCGGAACUGCCUUUGAUACUGGUAGUCUCGAGUCCGGAAGAGGUGAGUGGAAUUCCGAGUGUAGAGGUGAAAUUCGUAGAUAUUCGGAGGAACACCAGUGGCGAAGGCGGCUCACUGGUCCGGUACUGACGCUGAGGUGCGAAAGCGUGGGGAGCAAACAGG